rnacentral:rRNA from 1 species
ACGUAGGGGGCAAGCGUUAUCCGGAAUUAUUGGGCGUAAAGAGUGCGUAGGUGGUUUUUUAAGCGUGAGGUGAAAGGCAAUAGCUUAACUAUUGUAAGCCUUGCGAACUGGAAGACUUGAGUGCAGGAGAGGAAAGUGGAAUUCCUAGUGUUGCGGGUAAAAGCGUUAAUAUUAGGAGGAACCCCAGGUGCGAAGGCGGCCUUCUGGACCGUAACUUACACUGAGGCACGGAAGCGUUGGGAGCAAACAG